rnacentral:lncRNA from 1 species
GUUCUAUGUUGCCACUUCAUUAUCUACAACUCGGCACUUCUCCAUAUUACUAUCAUGUCUUAAAGUAUGGAUUCCCGAAAACUGAGGCCUCUACUGCUUUGGGCAAAGCCUGAAGAAGCUUCGUUUCCUUCACGGAGAAGCACCGCGAUUCAUCCCAGCCUAGACGGUACCUGGAAGGAAGGCCUUCUUCCAUUUGGUGGCUCUGGUGGUCAUGAAGGUGCUGCAGGAGGAAGAAAGCCUGGGAGACAUGGGAGGCAGGGUCAAGAACACCAUUUGAUUAUUAUUUGAGCUGACCUCGGGCCCAGCCUUCCUGAAUAUUCUCUUUUCUGAAGAGGCCUGCAAGAAGACAGGCCUGACUAUAAACCCAAAUGAGCCCCUGCAGCCUGAAGACCCUCCGGCAAAGAAAAGCAGAGGUGAUUUGAGGCCUGGUGGGGAAGAGAAAGAAACUGCUGAGAGACUAAAUGCCGAGGUCCAUCCGCAUUCUUGGAAGCCAGAGGAAGCAGGCUGGAGACACCCAGGAGGCCCAGAGAGGAGUCUGGACCCCACAGUGAACCAGCUGAGGGCUUCACGGAACCUUUCAUCAGACCCCCAGGGACUCCAGCUCGAAACAAACACAUAAUCAAAACGUUUCCCUCCCUUCCAAAUAUCCAAAGCCCUUAGGCUCCUCAGCUCCCCAGACCUGGAAGGAAGCCGGGCGCUUACUGCCAAGGUACUGUCUCCAGUCACCCCCACCCCCACCUGCACCCGGAACUUUGUACCCCAAGGGAGUGCAGCCUUUAAAAAAAAAAAGAAAGUUCCUGUUUUAACCAAAAAUGAAGCAGUUGCUCUUUCUCCUUCCUCCCCUGGGACAAGAAGCCCUUGAGUCCCCUCCAGAGUCCAGAUGCAAAGAGAGCGCUACUCCACCCCCAGUUUCCAACUCCCAGCAAGGCGAAUGGCCCCGACCGGCUCAACAGGUCCCUGGAAAGGACUUGCCCUCCCCAGGCAUCCACAGCUGAGGCCGGAGGAAGGAAGGGGAGGGGUGGGCAGGGGGGCUGGCCUGCUUUCCCCCUCCCACAACACUGGGG